UGUGCUGUGAUAUAUUAGUUUAGUAAAGUAGUCAAUGAACCUAAAAACUGAAAAACAUGCAUGCUUCUAAACUUUAGUUUGGUCAUUUUCCAUUUGUGCCUCCAAAUGGAUAGGCGCAACAUUGCAUAUGCCUAUAGGAGGAGCUUCCAUAAAACAAAGACAAAAAUUAAAAAAAACUGGCUUUUGACGAAACAUCAUAAAUGAAAAGAUGACAAAUGUGUUGUUAUGGAUGUUAACCUUUUAAUGUUUUGUACGUGCACGGUUCAUCAGACACAACGAUCUCCACCACAAUCAUAACACGUAAACUUGCUUUGACAUAAUUGGCGGCUUAAUUAUAAUUAGUAACUGCACUGCAGACUGUUUCAGCUACUCAAAGUCGU
rnacentral:lncRNA from 1 species